rnacentral:rRNA from 1 species
UACGAAGGGGGCUAGCGUUGCUCGGAAUCACCGGGCGUAAAGCGCACGUAGGCGGACUCUUAAGUCGGUGGUGAAAUCCUGGAGCUCAACUCCAGAACUGCCUUCGAUACUGGGAGUCUUGAGUCCGGGAGAGGUGAGUGGAACUGCGAGUGUAGAGGUGAAAUUCGUAGAUAUUCGCAAGAACACCAGUGGCGAAGGCGGCUCACUGGCCCGGUACUGACGCUGAGGUGCGAAAGCGUGGGGAGCAAACAGG